GGUGAUGAUGGCAGAGAGGUCACACCCGUUCCCAUACCGAACACGGAAGUUAAGCUCUCUAGCGCCGAUGGUAGUUGGGACCUUGUCCCUGUGAGAGUAGGACGUUGCCAGGCAA
rnacentral:rRNA from 1 species